rnacentral:rRNA from 1 species
UACGGAGGGUGCAAACGUUGCUCGGAAUUAUUGGGCGUAAAGCGCACGUAGGCGGUUCGUUAAGUUGGAUGUGAAAGCCCUGGGCUCAACCCAGGAAGAGCAUACAAAACUGGCGAGCUUGAGUACAGAAGAGGGUCUCGGAAUUCCCGGUGUAGAGGUGAAAUUCGUAGAUAUCGGGAGGAACACCAGUGGCGAAGGCGGAGACCUGGGCUGAUACUGACGCUGAGGUGCGAAAGCGUGGGGAGCAAACAGG